rnacentral:lncRNA from 1 species
AUGUGCUUGUUGGUCAUUCAUCCAACUGCUGUGCAGAAACACGCAUCAAAGCCGCUGAGGAAUUUGGAGCCAGCGGCUGCGCCCCCCCCUCGGCCACCAGGAGCCAGGAGCAGAAGCCCCUGCAGGACCGCGGAAGCGAGCUGCCCCAUCACUUCACAGCCGUCACUCCGCCCACCCAGCCCCCGCAGGAUCGCAGGCAAGACAGGUUUCCUGUGGCCGUGUCACCAAGGACCACAGUCAGUCCGGGUUUCCAGAGAACGACACUCAAGUAUUCCCCCUGCGUGGGGCCUGGCGGGGUGGCUCCUUCUGGAGGCCGUGGGGGAGUCUGCCUGGUGUUGCCGGAGACCUUGGUGCCCCGGGGUUCAUGGCCACAUUCCCCCCAUCCCCCACCCGUCAUCGUCAUCAGUCGUCACACAGCUUCUCCCUGCGUCCCUGCCUGCAUUUCCCUCUUACAAGGACAUGAGCCAUUGCACCAGGGCCGCCCUGCUCCACCAUGACCCCAUUUCAACGUAUCACGUCCGUGGAGACCCUACUUGCAAAUGCGGCUGCGUUUCUGGCUGCCAGAGGUCAGGAUGUGGACACACUGCUUGGGGACCACGAUCUAACCCAACGCAGGCCUUUGGGGUUCCCUCCUGUGCACUCGUGGCCUGAGCCCCCAGACUAGAUGUGGCCUCCCCUUCCUGCCUUUCUGUCUCCGGCAGCCACUUCCUGUGGGGGCCUGUCACAGCUGCCGAUGUGUGCUGCCCUCAGUCUGUGUCUGUUGUCCACCUUCCUGAGGCCCAGUGCCCGGCAGAGGCCUGUGUCUCCACCGCCAACACCUUGACAGAAAGGCCCCUGGCCUACCCUUCUGCGUGGGCUGCACACGGCAACCCCUGCCCACAAGGACCGUGUGGAGCCCGACCGGCACACCCGGCCGGAGACCAAGGUCAACGCCAGCAGUGAGGAACCUCGUGGGCAGCGGGGGCCCCAGGUGUGACGGCAUGAGCCAGACACUUCGCUCAGAGCCAUCGUGGGACGAACCCGGGGGCGGGGGGAGGGGAGGGGACAUCCUGCAGGAAGCCUGUCCAGUCCUCCUCCUGACCGCCUGCCCGGGGCAUCCACCGGAGAAGAGGUGGAGAAAGCGUCUCAGCCCAGUGGGGGCUAAGGAGAGUGAGAACCCGAUUCACGCGGUGUCCCGAUGGGGUCGGGGACAGAACGAGGACACGGGAGGCCGAGAGAUCGCAACAGUAAAGACGGUGUGGAGCAUCCGUGGACGGACAGUGGCCUUUGACUGCAGUGGUGGGAACACAGACGGGGCGGCCGAGCAGAAAGUCACCCCCAAAACAGGAAUGCUGGGGGGACCAGAUGGGACACAGGGUCUUUACACAGGUGAUCGAGUUAUGACAAGGUCACGAGGGUCACCCUGACCCUUACAGGGACACCCAGGGAAGAUCCUGUGAGGACACAAGGAGGAGACUGCCAGUGCUGUGAUCUCAUACCUAACGCCUCUAGAGCCGGGACAGAAACAGCUUGUUUAUGCUGCAGCCCCCCCGGGGAACGUGCAGAGCCCACGCGGGAGAGACGGGGGCGCACGUCCGUGGCAGCCAAGGGUGGACACUUCAGUGGGUGAAUGGACACACACGACAUGUCCACACCCCUCGGCCACGAGCAG